rnacentral:misc_RNA from 1 species
GAAAUGCGAUAAGUAGUGUGAAUUGCAGAAUUCAGUGAAUCAUCGAAUCUUUGAACGCACAUUGCGCCCCUUGGUAUUCCAUGGGGCAUGCCUGUUCGAGCGUCAUUUGUACCCUCAAGCUCUGCUUGGUGUUGGGUGUUUGUCCCGUCUCCGCGCGUGGACUCGCCCCAAAGCGAUUGGCAGCCGGCGUACUGGUCCCGGAGCGCAGCACAUGUCGCGCAAACGAGUGCCUUGGUACGGCGGCGUCCAUAAGCCCCUCUCUCACGCUCUUGACCUCGGAUCAGGUAGGGAUACCCGCUGAACUUAAGC